rnacentral:rRNA from 1 species
GACGAACGCUGGCGGCGUGCUUAACACAUGCAAGUCGAACGGAAAGGCCCUGCUUUUGUGGGGUGCUCGAGUGGCGAACGGGUGAGUAACACGUGAGUAACCUGCCCUUGACUUUGGGAUAACUUCAGGAAACUGGGGCUAAUACCGGAUAGGAGCUCCUGCUGCAUGGUGGGGGUUGGAAAGUUUCGGCGGUUGGGGAUGGACUCGCGGCUUAUCAGCUUGUUGGUGGGGUAGUGGCUUACCAAGGCUUUGACGGGUAGCCGGCCUGAGAGGGUGACCGGCCACAUUGGGACUGAGAUACGGCCCAGACUCCUACGGGAGGCAGCAGUGGGGAAUAUUGCACAAUGGGCGGAAGCCUGAUGCAGCAACGCCGCGUGCGGGAUGACGGCCUUCGGGUUGUAAACCGCUUCCGCCUGUGACGAAGCGUGAGUGACGGUAAUGGGUAAAGAAGCACCGGCUAACUACG